rnacentral:tRNA from 1 species
GUGGUCAUAGCUCAGUUGGCAGAGCGCCGGGGCGUGGACCCGGAAGUCGCGGGUUCGCGCCCCGUUGACCACCCCA